rnacentral:lncRNA from 1 species
AAAGACAUAUACUCCUGAGUAUAAUCCUGUGUAUUCAAAUGUAAAGAACAAAUUGAUUGGAACGUUUUAAAACCUCCAUUUUAUAGUUUUUUGUGUGUUCCUUUUAAUAGCUUGACUUCAAGCUUAGCAAAAUUUACUCAUUCUUGCAGGAACUAUUGAUUGUUUUUUAUGUGGAAGGACACUGUGGAGAAUGAAAUGAUAAGUAAGAGAUCACAUGCUGUCUCUACUGUAUAUCAUUGGAGUUGUGGGCCCAGCUGGAAGGAACAAGCACAAUUCUUAGUCCUAGAGGACAGAAAAGCGAGUCCUGUUAACCAAGUCUCAACCUAGAAUCUGAAGGAAAUUUGUAUUAUCUCAGGUUCUUCUGAUUUGGAAGUGAAAAUAAUCACACCCACCCUUUUCCUAUGAUGCAGAGUGCUGGUAAGUUUUCAAACAUUUUCCAGCAGCCUUCAAAGCUGUAAUCUAGAAGAAGGACUGUAAUCUGGCUGUAAAUGCUGUAAUGAUUUCCUUUAAUAAAUUCUGUUUAAGUUCAUGACAAACCUGACAUAUGCUUAAUUCUAUAUCAUUGUUAAGGGACAAAGUCUAGAGGAUCGCCCGUUUGUUUUUUUAAGAAUGACACAUGAUAGGAUUUUUAAUUUACACAGUUCAUUUUAGCAGAUUUGGUAUAAGACUGUUGAACCUUGAGUUGACUGGAAGCAUGCAAUGAGUGUGUUCUUAUAAUUUAUUCCAUUACAUUUCACAGUUAGCUAUCUAAAUCUUUGGUCUUUUGACUUUCAUAUUAAACAAAAUAGUCUACACAAUGCUGUAACAGCAUUCAUUGUCUUUCAAAGCUAAGAAUAGACAAUAAAUAGUGUGGCAUUUUAAUUAGAUACUUGCCUUCAUGUGCAUUUCAGCAACAAUCUAGCAAAGCUGAAUAAUAGAUGACAGUUUGAUCUGACUUCAGACAUCCCAUCCCUCCAGUUGCAUCACAAUAGAUAGUGCAGGAAUGCAGGAUGAGAGCAAUUUUAUUCACUUUUUAAACUGUACCUUGCUAUUCUUUCCCUAUAGCUAGUCUGAUUCACUC